UGUAUGUAUGUAGGUAUGUAGGUAUGUAUGUAUGUAUGUAGGUAGGUAUGUAUGUAUGUAGGUAGGUAGGUAGGUAGGUAGGUAGGUAGGUAGGUAUGUAUGUAGGUAUGUAUGUAGGUAUGUAAGUAAGUAGGUAUGUGUGUAUGUAUGUAGGUAGGUAGGUGGGUAUGUAGGUAUGUAUGUAUGUAGGUAUGUAAGUAAGUAGGUAUGUGUGUAUGUAGGUAUGUAUGUAUGUAAGUAGGUAUGUAUGUAUGUAAGUAUGUAUGUAGGUAGGUAUGUAUGUAUGUAGGUAGGUAGGUAUGUAGGUAGGUAUGUAGGUAGGUAUGUAGGUAGGUAUGUAUGUAUGUAGGUAGGUAGGUAUGUAGGUAGGUAUGUAUGUAUGUAUGUAUGUAGGUAUGUAUGUAGGUAUGUAAGUAAGUAGGUAUGUGUGUAUGUAUGUAGGUAUGUAUGUAUGUAAGUAGGUAUGUAUGUAUGUAAGUAUGUAUGUAGGUAGGUAUGUAUGUAUGUAUGUAUGUAGGUAGGUAGGUAUGUAUGUAGGUAUGUAUGUAAGUAAGUAGGUAUGUGUGUAUGUAUGUAGGUAGGUAGGUGGGUAUGUAGGUAUGUAUGUAUGUAGGUAUGUAAGUAAGUAGGUAUGUGUGUAUGUAGGUAUGUAUGUAUGUAAGUAGGUAUGUAUGUAUGUAAGUAUGUAGGUAGGUAGGUAUGUAUGUAUGCAGGUAGGUAUGUAUGUAGGUAGGUAGGUAUGUAUGUAUGGAGGUAGGUAUGUAUGUAUGUAGGUAGGUAGGUCGGUCUGUAUGCAUGUAUGUAGGUAGGAAGGUCGGUAUGUAUGUAUGUAUGUAGGUAGGUAGGUAGGUAGGUAGGUCAGUAUGUAUGUAUGUAAGUAUGUAGGUAGGUAGGUAUGUAUGUAUGCAGGUAGGUAUGUAUGUAUGUAGGUAGGUAGGUAGGUAUGUAUGUAGGUAUGUAUGUAGGUAUGUAUGUAGGUAUGUAAGUAGGUAUGUGUGUAUGUAUGUAGGUAUGUAUGUAUGUAAGUAGGUAUGUAAGUAUGUAUGUAGGUAGGUAUGUAUGUAGGUAGGUAGGUAGGUAUGUAUGUAGGUAUGUAUGUAAGUAAGUAGGUAUGUGUGUAUGUAUGUAGGUAGGUAGGUGGGUAUGUAGGUAUGUAUGUAUGUAGGUAUGUAAGUAAGUAGGUAUGUGUGUAUGUAGGUAUGUAUGUAUGUAAGUAGGUAUGUAUGUAUGUAAGUAUGUAGGUAGGUAGGUAUGUAUGUAUGCAGGUAGGUAUGUAUGUAUGUAAGUAUGUAUGUAGGUAGGUAUGUAUGUAGGUAGGUAGGUAGGUAUGUAUGUAGGUAUGUAUGUAAGUAAGUAGGUAUGUGUGUAUGUAUGUAGGUAGGUAGGUGGGUAUGUAGGUAUGUAUGUAUGUAGGUAUGUAAGUAAGUAGGUAUGUGUGUAUGUAGGUAUGUAUGUAUGUAAGUAGGUAUGUAUGUAUGUAAGUAUGUAGGUAGGUAGGUAUGUAUGUAUGCAGGUAGGUAUGUAUGUAGGUAGGUAGGUAGGUAUGUAUGUAUGGAGGUAGGUAUGUAUGUAUGUAGGUAGGUAGGUCGGUCUGUAUGCAUGUAUGUAGGUAGGUAGGUCGGUAUGUAUGUAUGUAUGUAUGUAGGUAGGUAGGUAGGUAGGUAGGUCAGUAUGUAUGUAUGCAUGUAUGUAGGUGGGUAUGUAAGUAAGUAGGUAUGUAUGUAAGUAUGUAGGUAGGUAGGUAUGUAUGUAUGCAGGUAGGUAUGUAUGCAGGUAGGUAUGUAUGCAGGUAGGUAUGUAUGCAGGUAGGUAUGUAUGUAGGUAGGGAGGUAGGUAUGUAUGUAGGUAGGUAGGUCGGUCUGUAUGCAUGUAUGUAGGUAGGUAGGUCGGUAUGUAUGUAUGUAGGUAGGUAGGUAGGUAGGUAGGUCAGUAUGUAUGUAUGCAUGUAUGUAGGUGGGUAUGUAAGUAAGUAGGUAUGUAUGUAAGUAUGUAGGUAGGUAGGUAUGUAUGUAUGCAGGUAGGUAUGUAUGCAGGUAGGUAUGUAUGUAGGUAGGUAGGUAGGUAUGUAUGUAUGGAGGUAGGUAGGUCGGUCUGUAUGCAUGUAUGUAGGUGGGUAUGUAAGUAAGUAGGUAUGUAUGUAUGUAUGUAAGUAGGUAUGUAUGUAUGUAAGUAUGUAUGUAUGUAGGUAGGUAGGUAUGUGUGUAUGUAGGUAGGUAGGUAUGUAUGUAUGUAUGUAUGUAGGUAGGUAGGUAGGUAGGUAUGUAUGUAUGUAGGUAUGUAAGUAAGUAGGUAUGUGUGUAUGUAUGUAGGUAGGUAGGUGGGUAAGUAGGUAUGUAUGUAUGUAAGUAGGUAUGUAUGUAUGUAAGUAAGUAUGUAUGUAGGUAGGUAUGUAAGUAUGUAUGUAUGUAGGUAGGUAGGUAUGUGUGUAUGUAGGUAGGUAGGUAUGUAUGUAUGUAUGUAUGUAUGUAGGUAGGUAGGUAGGUAGGUAUGUAUGUAUGUAGGUAUGUAAGUAAGUAGGUAUGUGUGUAUGUAUGUAGGUAGGUAGGUGGGUAAGUAGGUAUGUAUGUAUGUAAGUAGGUAUGUAUGUAUGUAAUUAAGUAUGUAUGUAGGUAGGUAUGUAUGUAGGUAGGUAUGUAGGUAGGUAGGUAGGUAUGUAUGCAUGUAUGUAUGUAGGUAUGUAUGUAUGUAGGUGGGUAUGUAUGUAAGUAGGUAUGUAUGUAUGUAGGUGGGUAUGUAGGUAUGUGUGUAUGUAUGUAUGUAUGUAGGUAGGUAGGUAGGUGGGUAAGUAGGUAUGUAUGUAUGUAGGUAGGUAGGUAGGUAUGUAGGUAGGUAGGUAGGUAUGUAUGCAGGUAGGUAGGUAUGUAUGUAUGUAUGUAUGUAUGUAUGUAAGUAGGUAUGUAUGUAUGUAGGUGGGUAUGUAUGUAAGUAGGUAUGUAUGUAUGUAGGUGGGUAUGUAGGUAUGUGUGUAUGUAUGUAUGUAUGUAGGUAGGUAGGUAGGUGGGUAAGUAGGUAUGUAUGUAAGUAGGUAUGUAUGUAUGUAAGUAAGUAUGUAUGUAGGUAGGUAGGUAUGUAGGUAGGUAGGUAGGUAGGUAGGUAUGUAUGCAGGUAGGUAGGUAUGUAUGUAUGUAUGUAGGUGGGUAUGCAUGUAUGUAAGUAGGUAUGUAUGUAUGUAGGUGGGUAUGUAUGUAUGUAUGUAAGUAGGUAUGUAUGUAUGUAUGUAGGUGGGUAUGUAUGUAUGUAUGUAAGUAGGUAUGUAUGUAUGUAGGUGGGUAUGUAUGUAUGUAGGUGGGUAUGUAGGUAUGUGUGUAUGUAUGUAUGUAUGUAGGUAGGUAGGUAGGUGGGUAAGUAGGUAUGUAUGUAAGUAGGUAUGUAUGUAAGUAAGUAUGUAUGUAGGUAGGUAGGUAGGUAGGUAUGUAUGCAGGUAGGUAUGUAUGUAUGUAUGUAUGUAGGUGGGUAUGUAUGUAUGUAUGUAUGUAGGUGGGUAUGCAUGUAUGUAAGUAGGUAUGUAUGUUGGUAUGUAUGUAUGUAUGUAGGUAGGUAUGUAUGCAGGUAUGUAUGUAUGUAUGUAGGUAGGUAGGUAGGUAGGUAUGUAGGUAGGUAGGUAUGUAUGCAGGUAGGUAGGUAUGUAUGUAUGUAGGUGGGUAUGUAUGUAUGUAUGUAUGUAUGUAGGUGGGUAUGUAUGUAUGUAAGUAGGUAUGUAUGUAUGUAUGUAGGUGGGUAUGUAUGUAGGUAUGUAUGUAGGUAUGUAUGUUGGUAUGUAUGUAGGUAUGUAGGUAUGUAUGUUGGUAUGUAUGUAUGUAGGUAGGUAUGUAUGUAGGUAGGUAUGUAUGUAGGUAGGUAGGUAUGUAGGUAGGUAUGUAUGUAGGUAGGUAGGUAGGUAUGUAGGUAUGUAGGUAGGUAGGUAUGUAUGCAGGUAGGUAGGUAUGUAUGUAUGUAGGUGGGUAUGUAUGUAUGUAUGUAGGUGGGUAUGUAUGUAUGUAAGUAGGUAUGUAUGUAUGUAUGUAUGUAUGUAUGUAGGUGGGUAUGUAGGUAUGUAGG